AUGAGCCGUAUGAGGUAGGAAACUCUCAAGUACGGUUCUAAGGGAAGGAACCACCUAUUCCGAC
rfam:Ananas comosus cultivar MD2 ACMD2_Scaffold_2377, whole genome shotgun sequence.